UGAGGAAUAUUGGACAAUGGGUGAGAGCCUGAUCCAGCCAUCCCGCGUGAAGGACGACGGCCCUAUGGGUUGUAAACUUCUUUUGUACAGGGAUAAACCUACCCUCGUGAGGGUAGCUGAAGGUACUGUACGAAUAAGCACCGGCUAACUCCGUGCCAGCAGCCGCGGUAAUACGGAGGGUGCAAGCGUUAUCCGGAUUUAUUGGGUUUAAAGGGUCCGUAGGCGGAUCUGUAAGUCAGUGGUGAAAUCUCACAGCUUAACUGUGAAACUGCCAUUGAUACUGCAGGUCUUGAGUAAAUUUGAAGUGGCUGGAAUAAGUAGUGUAGCGGUGAAAUGCAUAGAUAUUACUUAGAACACCAAUUGCGAAGGCAGGUCACUAAGAUUUAACUGACGCUGAUGGACGAAAAGCGUGGGGAGCGAACAGGAUUAGAUACCCUGGUAGUCCACGCCGUAAAACGAUGCUAACUCGUUUUUGGGUUUUUCGGAUUCAGAGACUAAGCGAAAAGUGAUAAGUUAGCCACCUGGGGAGUACGUUCGCAAAG
rnacentral:rRNA from 1 species